UGGUAAUUAGUUUAAAUAAAAUUAAUGAUUUCGACUCAUUAGAUUGUGGCCACCGUCAUAAUUACCAA
rnacentral:tRNA from 1 species